GGAAGGAUUGUGGCUCAGUGGUAGAACAUCCGCUUGGCAUGUAGAAGGCCGCGGGUUCGAUCCCCGGCAUCUCCA
rnacentral:tRNA from 1 species